GACGAACGCUGGCGGCGUGCUUAACACAUGCAAGUCGAACGGAAAGGCCCUGCUUUUGUGGGGUGCUCGAGUGGCGAACGGGUGAGUAACACGUGAGUAACCUGCCCUUGACUUUGGGAUAACUUCAGGAAACUGGGGCUAAUACCGGAUAGGAGCUCCUGCUGCAUGGUGGGGGUUGGAAAGUUUCGGCGGUUGGGGAUGGACUCGCGGCUUAUCAGCUUGUUGGUGGGGUAGUGGCUUACCAAGGCUUUGACGGGUAGCCGGCCUGAGAGGGUGACCGGCCAAAUUGGGACUGAGAUACGGCCCAGACUCCUAAGGGAGGCAGCAGUGGGGAAUAAUGCACAAUGGGCGGAAGGCUGGUGCAGGAACGCCGCGUGCGGGAAGACGGCCUUCGGGUUGUAAAACGGUUUCGCCUGUGAAGAAGGGUGAGUGGAGGGAAUGGGUAAAGAAGGAACCGCUAAAUAACGU
rnacentral:rRNA from 1 species